rnacentral:rRNA from 1 species
GUGAGGAAUUUUCCGCAAUGGGCGAAAGCCUGACGGAGCAAUGCCGCGUGAAGGAUGAAGGCCUAUGGGUUGUAAACUUCUUUUCUCAGAAAAGAAUUAUGACGGUAUCUGAGGAAUAAGCAUCGGCUAACUCUGUGCCAGCAGCCGCGGUAAGACAGAGGAUGCAAGCGUUAUCCGGAAUGAUUGGGCGUAAAGCGUCUGUAGGUUGUUUAAAAAGUAUUCUGUCAAAGAUUAGGGCUUAACCCUAGAUAGGCAGAAUAAACUUUUAAGCUAGAGUUUGGUAGAGGCAGAGGGAAUUCCCGGUGGAGCGGUGAAAUGCGUAGAUAUCGGGAGGAACACCAAAGGCGAAGGCACUCUGCUGGGCCAAUACUAACACUGAGAGACGAAAGCGAGGGGAGCAAAUGGGAUUAGAAACACGUGUAGUCC